rnacentral:rRNA from 1 species
UACGUAGGGGGCAAGCGUUGUCCGGAUUUAUUGGGCGUAAAGAGCGUGUAGGCGGCCAGGUAGGUCCGUUGUGAAAACUCGAGGCUCAACCUCGAGACGUCGGCGGAAACCCUCUGGCUAGAGUCCGGAAGAGGAGAGUGGAAUUCCUGGUGUAGCGGUGAAAUGCGCAGAUAUCAGGAAGAACACCCGUGGCGAAAGCGGCUCACUGGACCACAACUGACGCUGAGGCGCGAAAGCUAGGGGAGCAAACAGG